AAUUUCAAGUAUGUUAGGAUUGUUGAAAGUGAAUUACAAGAGGCAGUUAGCCAGCAGCAACGAGAUGAAGAAGGAAGAUCAGUUAAACAUAACACUGGCAGCAAACACCAAAUACCAGAUGUUUUUGUCCCGCCGCACUUGUAUUCACAACUUGUACAACAUGAGGAAGGCUUUAAACUGCUUCUAUCAGAACCAGGAUUCAAUGCACUCAUUCCCAUUCUGUUAGAAGGCAAAUGUGAUGCAGAUGAUGAAAUACUCCAUUUAAAAGCAUCAGUCUGGGCUUUAGGCCACUUCGGAACGUCUACUCAAGGUGCCAAAUAUUUAUUUGAUCAUGGUGCUGUCAUUGCAUUGAAGAAAUUAUUUUUGAAUGCACCUGUUUAUACUGUUCGUGCUACUGCAUAUUAUGCCAUGUCAAUGCUCGCAACUAAUAGGUCAGGUGUUGCUGCCCUUCACAGUGUAGGAUGGGAAUGUGUGCGCCAUGGUAGGAAUGAUCAGUGGCCUCUUGUUUCUCCGCCUCCUCACUCUGUAUUUUCACCUGUAUUAAGUCCAUCAUCGCCGGAACAAGGGUCAUUGGAGGAUUCAAAGUCUCCAGAAGACAGUACUCUGGUCGGAACCAUCUCCUGGAAUCAUUUUGGGAGGUGCUCAUCUUCUCAAACGGCAGCAACUCUCCCUAGCUCAACUAGUCAUCACCUUUCUGUUUUGAAAAAUGUUCACGUUAGGAGUCCAAGUGAAAGUAAAGCAGACAAUUGUGAAGAAUUAUUAGUAUUAAAACAAAUCUAUCAUGAAAGUGCAGAAAAAAUAACAGACGGGCCCGCAGAGUCUGAUGCAAAACUGCGAUUAGACAGUGUUUGCACAAACCCGAGUACCAAUAGCUCAUGUGAUUCCUCCAGCAGUAAAGAACAUAGUGUGGAACAUGCUCAAAAAGUUGCUCCAAAUGUAAGCUCUAGUCAUCUUGAAUCGUUUAGAUCAUUAAAAUCAUCAGUACCUCACCUGACUUUUGAUCAGAUUAAAUCAAGUCGAAGAGUACACCAUCAAAACAUUUUGGGCUAUAACACGCUGAAAUUGUUGAACUGGCACAGGAGACCUCACUUGAUUUCUUCUUCUUCGACCACAGCUGCUUUAGAGCUCUUCUCAAUCCAAGACUUGAAACAGAUGUCUCCUCUUGUUCGCCCAAAACUGUCAUCGAAACAUACUCCAAAGACAAUACUUGAAUCUGAUGAGUUUUAUCCAUUGAAUAAAAUAGAUUUUCUGCCAGCUGAGAGUUACCCAAGUAGUAGUGUAAAUUUGCCGUUUCACUUCUCUGAUGAUAACAACUCUAGUCAUGAUUUUAACUAG
rnacentral:lncRNA from 1 species